GACCUCGUAGUAUAAUGGUAGUACGCCAUGCUAAUAUAAUUAUACCGGUUUCGUGUAUUCUCAUGAAGGUCUCAGUUCAAAUCUGAGCGGGGUCG